CUGGAAGGCGGCGGUGGAGGAGAAGAAAGCUCGGGUGGGUUGGGAGCCAGAUGGAGACGCAACUGUUCGCGGCGGCGGAUCUUCAGACGCCACGCAGCCGAGCAGGUAAUGGAAGUAGACUUUGGUUAACUUCAGCAAAAGUGAAAUUUACAGAAACAUUUCAAGAACAUGUGAAAUAAAAUGAGGAUGAAUCUGGCUUUAGCUGAAUAAACCAGGAAGCUCCCUUGGGUCAAAACUCCACAACCAUGGACAUGUUCGCUAAGGAUCACAGAUCCACACUGGAAAAGCUCCUGAUCUUAAUUGUCCUUCUACAUCUGAGAUGAUUAAGAUUUAGUUCUUGUGCCAUACUUAAAGGCACUCUUCUAUCCCUUCUCCACUGCCCUUCUCCUGAGAAAUAGCUGAUUCAAGUUACUUCCCUUUUCUAUGGCUGCUGGAUUUCAAGACAAAGCUUCCAGAAUGACUCAAAACUACAUGGCUACCAAGAUGACAAUGCCUGGCACCUAUAGAGGGCCUUUAGAUAGACCCUCUGAAGAGUAACUCUAACUGCUGAUGACAACAAUGACCCUCUUCAGCUGGAAGUAGCCAGACGUCUUUUUGCCCUUUGCCCCCUCACAGCAGUUAGGGCUACUUCUUCAGAGGGGCGAUUAUUGCAGAUAAGUUAAUUGAAUAUCUUGUGUGCAGUUAACAGGACCAGCCCUCCAGAAGCUAACACAGCAAGGAGCCAGCCAGAAUUGUAAAAGGAGAAAAACCACACACCCUAGUGCUUCCCCUGGGGAUAAA